GCUUUGAUGAACGUAAAACAAUGAUACAAAAUAAUAUGUUUAUAUAGAUAGAAACAAAAAAGUACCAAUUUGAUAGCGCGUGAUUUCAUCGUUGGUAUUGGAUGUUUGGAUACCAAAAACCGCAAUGUCGCUCUCUUUCGUGACAUAUUUGCAAAUGUAUUUAAUUGACUUGACCGAAUUGCAAUCACUUGACAUGCGCUCUAAAGCAGUCUUGAACAGCCUGACCAAUGCAUGAUGUUCAUGAAGCAUUUGCUGUAGAUCUUGGAGAAUUGCUCUCUUCGUAGCUGUGUUGAUCCCUUGACGCCUGUCAAGUUGUUCUUCCAUAUUACCCACAUUUCAAGAAUUUUUUCUGUGCAUCUUUUGUAGGUUACAAUGAUCCAAUGCGAUGGUAAUAGGAUUUUCAUUCAAGCACUAUGUGGUAAACGACAUUCUUUGUUUUUUGGUCAGGCGCAAGAACAAAUAAAGUACAAUUGACCAUGAGAAAAACAUUCAUUUUCUAGAUUGAGGCCACAAAUAGUCAAGGAUUGGCCCUGUGACUUGUUGGUCGUCAUGGCGAAGGCAAGACGAAUCGGGAAUUGAAAUUGUUUAAACUCAAAGGGCAUAUCCGUUGGGAUCAUCGGAAUCCUUGGAAUAAGAACUUCCUUAUCUUUAAAUUUUCCUUUAAGUAUCGACGCAUGAAUCACAUUGCUCAUCAGUUUUCUUAUCACCAAUCGCGUUCCAUUGCACAAUUUUGGUUGGUUUAAAUUUCUACGCAUGAUGACUACCGAGCCAACUUUAAGUUUUAAAUUGUGUGGUGGUAAACCAGGCACAUCCAAGGAGUUUAAAAAAGCAGUUGGAUUAUUAGUGGCUUCUUCUUCGUUUGUUACACAGUCGAUAGAUUUGAAUGAAACCGAGUACCUACGAUUUGAUUUUGAAUUAUAAAAUUGAGGUCAUCUACAUCUUUAUUUUUAGCGGCCAAAAUUGCUCGCUCACUUAACCAUUUAUUAUUUUUGUGGUUAGCAAUGAUAUCCGGAAUACUUUGUUGAUAAGCUCGUUUUUUGAUGAUACGAAAUUGCAACAAUUUGGAGGAAAUGAAAUCAAACCGCUCGAUUUGUCAACAGGAACACGGCCAUUCAACAAUGCAACUCUCAUAUUUACAGACAGUUGAAGUUUCUUUACAUAUCGCCACAGAUUUGAUGCUUUGAGGCAAGCGUUUAUUUCGUCUGCAGCAGUAGAUCUUGGAAUAACUGGUAGUGUUUGUCCGAAAUCGCCGGAUAAUAAAAUCAUUGCACCACCAAAACAUCUCGAGUCAUUGCGCAGAUCUUUUAAUGUUCGGUCUAGUGCUUCCAAUGCGCGUUUGUGCGCCAUGCGCAUUUGUCCCAUAUGAUGAUUUUUGAUGCUACUAAAACUUUGGCCAUUGCGGAGUUUUUCGAAAUGUUACAUGUCGGUUGUUCAGUAGUUUGAAGGUUUAAUGGCGAUUUUAACGCUGAGUGAGCCGUACGGCAUCCGUUUAACCAUGUGGCCGCUAUUCCAGAAGAAGCAAUUGCUACCGCAAUUUCGGAUCUCGCACGUACAGUGGCCAAAAUCAAUGACAUGAGGAAUGUCUUCCCAGUUCCACCAGGGGCAUCAAAAAAAAAGCCGCAAUUCUCCAAUUCCAAUUCUUUACUAAAUGCGUCAUUCAUUCCGCGAUCUGGCGCUGGCAUUCCUAACCUAACUAACAAACUGCCGCACAUGAGGUAACACAUAUCUUCGAUCAAGAGCAAAGUCUGGUUAUGGAUCUCCUCAUUCACCUCAAGAUCGUAAUUUCUUGAGCUGACGCGAAUUCGAUGUAAAAUAUCUUCGGACAUUUUAUCUUUGUAUUUGUUCCACAGGUCAAGUGGUUUCGAUGGGAAGCAUGUUGAAAUGAUGAUAGCAAAUAAUGUGCGUAUCUGACUUGGAGAUGCAGAAAUAAUUGCUUCAGCGAUUGUCGUGUCCCAAUGAGUAUCGUUUUCAAGCAAAUUUAGCUCUUGACAUGCUGCACGAAAUGUGGGGCACACGAUACCAUUAACAGUUCGAAGUGAUUCAAAUGAUGUUGGCCCUCGAACAUGUACCAGCAACAACCGCAAAUAGAAACAUUCAUCAUUCUUCGGAUGAACUGUGUAAAUACGACCAAGAGCAUCAGUAGAACGCAUAUCUGGAUGACCAUCGCCUUGCUUCCGACGUUGAAAUUUCUUCGAUGUAGCGUUCCAAGUUUAAUAACGUGGCAUUUGACAAAUCGCAAAGAAACUGGUCAGUGUUAUCGCUAGAGGUGUUUCGGCGCGUUGAGCAGCAUUCGACGCUUUGAAAUAUACUCUCUGACCGUUCUCUAGAUGCACCCCCAAAUGUAAAACAGUGGGAUGACGUUCGUGAAUAGGGAAUGAAAAUAUACGCCAAACUGCUUCAUUGCAGUUCACAUAUCUACCAACUUGAUAGCGCGUGAUUUCAUCGUUGGUAUUGGAUGUUUGGAUACCAAAAACCGCCAUGUCGCUUCCUUUCGUGACAUAUUUGCAAAUGUAUUAAAUUGAAUUGACCGAAUUGCAAUACUCAACAUUACAAUGUGCUUUGAAUUUUUUGGAAAGAAGUGGCGAAUAUGGAACAAUCCAACUGUUGUCUACUACGAAAUCGUUUCCUUUCACUUUAGUUGUGACAGUUCUACCAUUAUCAUCGGGCGAUCGACACCGAUACAAUGGAUAACCAUCGUUGCCUGUAAUGGUCUCUGCCGUCAACUUUCGUGGAUACAGUUUGGAACACUUGCCGUCGACCAUGCACGGUGAUUGUCGGUUGAUAGUGCCACACGGUCCAUGAAUCAUAUUCGUGACUACAACAUCAUGUAGGUCUGGAUCGGUUUCAGGAGCAGGAAUCUCCGCACAUAUGAUGUCAUCUAUUUGAUCUGGCCGAAUUCUUUCGACUAACCAAAUCAGAAUGUGAGCAUGCGGUAAGCCUCAGUUUUUCCAUUCGAUUGAAUACAUCCAGCAUCGAGUAUUCCCAAAGACGUGUUGCUUAACAAUGUAAUUCCUUAGUGACCGAAUUUUUUGCCUGAAAACACGUGCGGUGAUGUCGUGUCCAUAACUUGAUGUUUGUCCGGGAAGCAGCAAUUGAAUAAUUUCUAUCCAUUUUGGAUGUAAAUGUAAUGAAUAGAUCUGGCCGACCAUAAUGACGAACAUAUGUCAUUGCAUCUUGCGCAUUUUCAUGCAAAUGACGCGGGCUGCCUAUGUAUGUCGCCGGUAAAAUAGUCAAUCGACCAACAUUUUCUGAAUCUCCUUCUGUGCUAAUUUCAUCGCGUAAAUGGAUAUACUCUUCCGAACGCAAUUUAGCCUGAUUCAACCGAAUGAAAGUCAGGCGCUCCGUUUCGAUUUUAACGUACAUGUCAACGCAAUAUUGUUGAAGCAGUCGACGAAAUCGCAACAAAUAAUUGUCAGAAUUUUCUAGAAUCAUCAAACGAUAUUCGUAAUAAUUUAUCAAAGUAACCUUCUUGGUAG
rnacentral:lncRNA from 1 species